UUAAAAGAUGGCUUCUCGCUAUCACUUCUGGAUGGACCUGCGGUGCAUUAGCUUGUUGGUGGGGUAACGGCCUACCAAGGCGAUGAUGCAUAGCCGAGUUGAGAGACUGAUCGGCCACAAUGGGACUGAGACACGGCCCAUACUCCUACGGGAGGCAGCAGUAGGGAAUCUUCCACAAUGGGCGCAAGCCUGAUGGAGCAACACCGCGUGAGUGAAGAAGGGUUUCGGCUCGUAAAGCUCUGUUGUUAAAGAAGAACACGUAUGAGAGUAACUGUUCAUACGUUGACGGUAUUUAACCAGAAAGUCACGGCUAACUACGUGCCAGCAGCCGCGGUAAUACGUAGGUGGCAAGCGUUAUCCGGAUUUAUUGGGCGUAAAGAGAGUGCAGGCGGUUUUCUAAGUCUGAUGUGAAAGCCUUCGGCUUAACCGGAGAAGUGCAUCGGAAACUGGAUAACUUGAGUGCAGAAGAGGGUAGUGGAACUCCAUGUGUAGCGGUGGAAUGCGUAGAUAUAUGGAAGAACACCAGUGGCGAAGGCGGCUACCUGGUCUGCAACUGACGCUGAGACUCGAAAGCAUGGGUAGCGAACAGGAUUAGAUACCCUGGUAGUCCAUGCCGUAAACGAUGAGUGCUAGGUGUUGGAGGGUUUCCGCCCUUCAGUGCCGGAGCUAACGCAUUAAGCACUCCGCCUGGGGAGUACGACCGCAAGGUUGAAACUCAAAGGAAUUGACGGGGGCCCGCACAAGCGGUGGAGCAUGUGGUUUAAUUCGAAGCUACGCGAAGAACCUUACCAGGUCUUGACAUCUUGCGCCAACCCUAGAGAUAGGGCGUUUCCUUCGGGAACGCAAUGACAGGUGGUGCAUGGUCGUCGUCAGCUCGUGUCGUGAGAUGUUGGGUUAAGUCCCGCAACGAGCGCAACCCUUGUUACUAGUUGCCAGCAUUAAGUUGGGCACUCUAGUGAGACUGCCGGUGACAAACCGGAGGAAGGUGGGGACGACGUCAGAUCAUCAUGCCCCUUAUGACCUGGGCUACACACGUGCUACAAUGGACGGUACAACGAGUCGCGAACUCGCGAGGGCAAGCAAAUCUCUUAAAACCGUUCUCAGUUCGGACUGCAGGCUGCAACUCGCCUGCACGAAGUCGGAAUCGCUAGUAAUCGCGGAUCAGCAUGCCGCGGUGAAUACGUUCCCGGGCCUUGUACACACCGCCCGUCACACCAUGAGAGUUUGUAACACCCAAAGUCGGUGGGGUAACCUUUUAGGAGCCAGCCGCCUAAGGUGGGACAGAUGAUUAGGGUGAAGUCGUAACAAGGUAGCCGUAGGAGAACCUGCGGCUG
rnacentral:rRNA from 1 species